rnacentral:rRNA from 1 species
CCCUUAGAUGUUCUGGGCCGCACGCGCGCUACACUGAUGCAUUCAACGAGUCUAAAACCUGCUCUGAUAGGGGUGGGUAAUCUUUUGAAUGUGCAUCGUGAUUGGGAUAGAUGAUUGCAAUUUUUCAUCUUCAACGAGGAAUGCCUAGUAAACGCAAGUCAUCAGCUUGCAUUGAUUACGUCCCUGCCCUUUGUACACGCCGCCCGUCGCUCCUACCGAUUGAAUGAUCCGAUGAAUAUCAUGGAUUGAGGAUGCAAGUAGGUUCGCCUAUCUUCAUCUUCGAGAAGUGAAGUAAAUCUUAUCAUUUAGAGGAAGGAGAAGUCGUAACA